AACGAACGCUGGCGGCAUGCCUAACACAUGCAAGUCGAACGAGACCUUCGGGUCUAGUGGCGCCCGGGUUCGUAACGCGUGGGAACCUUCCCUUAGGUUCGGAAUAACUCCCCGAAAGGGGUGCUAAUACCGGAUAAUGUCUUCGGACCAAAGAUUUAUGGCCUUUGGAUGGGCCCGCGUUGGAUUAGCUAGUUGGUAGGGUAAAAGCCUACCAAGGCGAGGAUCCAUAGCUGGUCUGAGAGGAUGAUCAGCCACACUGGGAAUGAGACACGGCCCAGACUCCUACGGGAGGGCGGAAGUGGGAAGAGUGGAAAAGGGGGGGAAGCCUGAAACAGCAAUGGUGGGUAAGUGAUGAAGGGCUUAGGGUUGUAAAGCUUUUUUACCCGGGAUGAUAAUGACAGUACCGGGAGAAUAAGCGCCGGCUAACUCCGUG
rnacentral:rRNA from 1 species